rnacentral:rRNA from 1 species
GGGAUUGCCUCAGUAACGGCGAGUGAAGCGGCAACAGCUCAAAUUUGAAAUCUGGCCCCUUCCGGGGUCCGAGUUGUAAUUUGUAGAGAGUGUUUCGGGUGAGACCACGGUCUAAGUCCAUUGGAACAUGGCGUCAUAGAGGGUGAGAAUCCCGUAUGUGACUGUGGCUCGAGCCCAUGUGAAGCCUCUUCGACGAGUCGAGUUGUUUGGGAAUGCAGCUCUAAAUGGGUGGUAAAUUUCAUCUAAAGCUAAAUACUGGCUGGAGACCGAUAGCGCACAAGUAGAGUGAUCGAAAGAUGAAAAGCACUUUGGAAAGAGAGUUAAACAGUACGUGAAAUUGUUGAAAGGGAAGCGCUGGCAAUCAGACCUGCCCGUAGGCGAUCAGCCGCUGUUCUCAGCGGUGCACUCGUUCUGCGAUCAGGCCAGCAUCGGUUUCGGCGGCCGGAUAAAGGCCCGGGGAACGUAGCUCCCUCUCGGGGGAGUGUUAUAGCCUCGGGCGCAAUGCGGCCAGCCGGGACCGAGGACCGCGCUUCGGCUAGGAUGCUGGCGUAAUGGUUGUCAGCGACCCGUCUUGAAACACGGACCAAGGAGUCUAACAUCUAUGCGAGUGUUUGGGUGUCAAACCCAUGCGCGGAAUGAAAGUGAACGGAGGUGAGAACCCUUUAGGGCGCAUCAUCGACCGAUCCAGAUGUCUUCGGAUGGAUUUGAGUAUGAGCAUAGCUGUUGGGACCCGAAAGAUGGUGAACUAUGCCUGAAUAGGGUGAAGCCAGAGGAAACUCUGGUGGAGGCUCGCAGCGGUUUUGACCGUGCAAAU